AGAGGGGCAGAUCCAGAAAUGUGCGGCGAGGCGCGCUCAGCUACUCCAAUCUAAGGAGCCACGGAGAUGGGUUUCUUGCCGGGGAUCUUUCUACGGCGAAGUACUGAGAGAAGACAGACUCCAAUGGGCAAAGAGAAUGACAGAUGGGGAACACAGCGAAGCCUUUUAACGAGAUUCCCUUGAGUUGAGCUGUAUUCUAAAUGCAUCAUCAUAAUCCACCAUCUGCAGAUAGGAUUACCUUUGGGCACAGUGGAAAAUCUAAAAGAGUAAAGGUAAUGGAGCCUGUGUCCCCUGCCUCUCGAGAAAACAGGGAGGAGAGAUACUUACCGGUACUAUCAACUUGAGGUGUUGCAAAUGCUUCUUUCUUCUCUGCUAGGAAGAGAAGUUUCCAAUUCUUGCUUCCUUUUGCAUCACCUUUCCUUUGGUUUUCAAUCAGGCAGAGAUGUAGUUUAAUAUUCCCCACCCCAGCAAGAUGCGUGCUUCAGAUGUGCUGAAGUUACAACUUUUGCCAUCCUUAACCAGCUAGGGAAGGUUGAUACAGCUCUUGUGGGGUGUUUAAGAUCAUGCAUUAAAAAUUAUGUUGAACAUAAGCCUGCAAAAUAUUACUUCUCUUGUCUGAAGAGCUUGUGCAUAGUUUUCAUUGGGGUUGCAUUAACUGUAAUGUGGUUCCAUUUCACUGGCGGUACAAGGAUGGGGAAGAGCAUGGGAAUAUCCCAAACCAUUUACAUAAGUGUUCAGAGCCAUGAAAG